UACAGAGGUCUCAAGCGUUGUUCGGAUUCAUUGGGCGUAAAGGGCGCGUAGGUGGCGGGGCAAGUCAGGUGUGAAAUCUCGGGGCUCAACCCCGAAACUGCACUUGAUACUGCCUUGCUCGAGUACUGGAGAGGAGAUUGGAAUUUACGGUGUAGCAGUGAAAUGCGUAGAUAUCGUAAGGAAGACCAGUGGCGAAGGCGAAUCUCUGGACAGUUACUGACACUGAGGCUCGAAGGCCAGGGGAGCAAACGGG
rnacentral:rRNA from 1 species